rnacentral:rRNA from 1 species
UACGUAGGUCCCGAGCGUUGUCCGGAUUUAUUGGGCGUAAAGCGAGCGCAGGUUGUUUAAUAAGUCUGAUGUAAAAGGCAGUGGCUCAACCAUUGUGUGCAUUGGAAACUGUUAGACUUGAGUGCAGUAGAGGAGAGUGGAAUUCCAUGUGUAGCGGUGAAAUGCGUAGAUAUAUGGAGGAACACCGGUGGCGAAAGCGGCUCUCUGGACUGUCACUGACACUGAGGCUCGAAAGCGUGGGUAGCAAACAGG